AGAACGAACGCUGGCGGCAUGCCUAACACAUGCAAGUCGAACGCUUUUGGGGCUUCGGUCCCAAAGGAGUGGCGCACGGGUGAGUAGCGCGUGGGAACCUGCCCUGUUGUGGGGGAUAACCGAGGGAAACUUCGGCUAAUACCGCAUACGCCCGGGGGAAACUCCGGGGAAAGAUUUAUCGCAGCAGGAGGGGCCCGCGUCGGAUUAGGUAGUUGGUGGGGUAACGGCCCACCAAGCCUGUGAUCCGUAGCUGGUCUGAGAGGAUGAUCAGCCACACUGGGACUGAGACACGGCCCAGACUCCUACGGGAGGCAGCAGUGGGGAAUAUUGGACAAUGGGCGCAAGCCUGAUCCGGCAAUGCCGCGUGAGUGAUGAAGGCCUUCGGGUUGUAAAGCUCUUUCGCACGCGACGAUGAUGACGGUAGCGUGAGAAGAGCCCCGGCUAACUUCGUGCCAGCAGCCGC
rnacentral:rRNA from 1 species